rnacentral:rRNA from 1 species
GACGAACCGUGCGAACGUUAUUCGGAAUCAUUGGGCUUAAAGGGCGCGUAGGCGGGCUGCCAAGUCCGUGGUGAAAUCCCCCGGCUCAACCGGGGAACGGCCUCGGAUACUGGCGGCCUGGAGGCGGGUAGGGGCAAGCGGAACUGUGGGUGGAGCGGUGAAAUGCGUUGAGAUCCACAGGAACUCCGGUGGCGAAGGCGGCUUGCUGGACCCGAUCUGACGCUGAGGCGCGAAAGCCAGGGAGCGAACGGG